UAGGUGCCUUCCAAAUCGUCCCUGUCUUCGUCCCUCUGGUCCCUCAGAGCGAUAUAGGUUAGUUCCAGCACCUUCAACCUUCUUCCCACCGCCUAGGGACUUCUUCUCUGUCAUUAUUUUUUGCAUCCCUCCGAGUUAGUUUCCUGUGGCCUCUCGUUCCCCAUCCUGUCCGUCUUCUUAGGGACCUUUAGAGCCCUCCUUUGAAACUACCCGAAAUGUCGUCCGGCUCUUCCGCUCCCUGCAGUUUCGGGAGCUCUUCCGCCUCAAACCCCCAGGUCCCCCGCUCCGUAGAUGAACCUGCGUCUGGGGCUGGGCUCCGUCCGAUUUUUGCACCGGGCGCCAUUCCAUGUUCCC
rnacentral:lncRNA from 1 species